rnacentral:rRNA from 1 species
AACGAACGCUGGCGGCGUGCUUAACACAUGCAAGUCGAACGUGAAAGACUUCGGUCGAGUAAAGUGGCGAACGGGUGAGUAACGCGUGGGUAAUCUGCCCUCGGGCGGGGGAUAACCUCUCGAAAGGGGGCGUAAUACCGCAUGAGACCACGGCUUCUUGGAGCUGUGGGAAAAGGUGGGUCGCAAGACCAGCCACCUGAGGAUGAGCCCGCGUACCAUUAGGUAGUUGGUGGGGUAAUGGCCUACCAAGCCCGAGAUGGUUAGCUGGUCUGAGAGGACGAUCAGCCACACUGGGACUGAGAUACGGCCCAGACUCCUACGGGAGGCAGCAGUGGGGAAUAUUGCGCAAUGGGGGGAAACCCUGACGCAGCAACGCCGCGUGUGUGAAGAA